rnacentral:rRNA from 1 species
GAUGAACGCUAGUGAUAGGCUUAACACAUGCAAGUCGAGGGGCAGCAAUUUGUAGCAAUACGAAGUUGGCGACCGGCGCACGGGUGAGUAACGCGUAUGCAACCUACCCGCAACAGAAGGAUAAUCCGGCGAAAGUCGGUCUAAUACUUCAUAAUACAGGGACACCGCAUGGUGAUAUUUGUUAAAGAUUAAUUGGUUGCGGAUGGGCAUGCGUGCCAUUAGGUAGUUGGUGAGGUAACGGCCCACCAAGCCGACGAUGGUUAGGGGUUCUGAGAGGAAAAUCCCCCACACUGGUACUGAGACACGGACCAGACUCCUACGGGAGGCAGCAGUGAGGAAUAUUGGUCAAUGGGCGAGAGCCUGAACCAGCCAAGUCGCGUGAAGGAAGACGGCCCUAUGGGUUGUAAACUUCUUUUGCAGGGGAAUAAAGAUAUCCACGUGUGGGUAGUUGUAUGUACCCUGCGAAUAAGCAUCGGCUAACUCCGUGCCAGCAGCCGCGGUAAUACGGAGGAUGCGAGCGUUAUCCGGAUUUAUUGGGUUUAAAGGGUGCGUAGGUGGGCUAUUAAGUCAGUGGUGAAAGUUUGUCGCUCAACGAUAAAAUUGCCGUUGAAACUGGUGGUCUUGAGUAUGGAUGAAGUAGGCGGAAUGCGUGGUGUAGCGGUGAAAUGCAUAGAGAUCACGCAGAACUCCGAUUGCGAAGGCAGCUUACUAAGGCAUAACUGACACUGAAGCACGAAAGCGUGGGUAUCAAACAGG